rnacentral:rRNA from 1 species
UACGUAGGGUGCGAGCGUUAAUCGGAAUUACUGGGCGUAAAGCGUGCGCAGGCGGUUUUGUAAGCCAGAUGUGAAAGCCCCGGGCUCAACCUGGGAAUGGCAUUUGGGACUGCAAGGCUUGAGUGCGGCAGAGGAGACUGGAAUUCCUGGUGUAGCAGUGAAAUGCGUAGAUAUCAGGAGGAAUACCGAUGGCGAAGGCAGGUCUCUGGGCUGACACUGACGCUCAUGCACGAAAGCGUGGGAGCAAACAGG